rnacentral:rRNA from 1 species
GCCAGCAGCCAUAUCACCCUACAACUCACAACUGGUAACCCACUGAAGCUAAGCAGGUGUGAGCCUGAUCAGUACCUGGAUGGGAGACCUCCUGAGAAACACAAAGGUUGCUACUGGAA